CCUACGGGUGGCAGCAGUGAGGAAUAUUGGUCAAUGGCCGUAAGGCUGAACCAGCCAAGUAGCGUGAGGGAAGACUGCCCUAUGGGUUGUAAACCUCUUUUAUGCGGGGAUAAAGGUGUCCACGUGUGGAUGUUUGCAGGUACCGCAUGAAUAAGGACCGGCUAAUUCCGUGCCAGCAGCCGCGGUAAUACGGAAGGUCCGGGCGUUAUCCGGAUUUAUUGGGUUAAAAGGGAGCGUAGGCCGGUCUUUAAGCGUGCCGUGAAAUUUUGUGGCUCAACCAUGAGAGUGCGUCGCAAACUGGAGACCUUGAGUGCGCGGAAGAUAGGCGGAAUACGGUGUGUAUCUGUGAAAUGAUUAGAUACCCGAGUAGUC
rnacentral:rRNA from 1 species